rnacentral:tRNA from 1 species
GACCGCGUAGCUCAGUUGGCAGAGCAUUGGACUAGUAUUCCGAUCCAAAGGUCGUAGGUUCGAUUCCCACCGUGGCCA